CCUACGGGAGGCAGCAGUAGGGAAUUUUGCGCAAUGGGCGCAAGCCUGACGCAGCAACACCGCGUGAACGAGACGCCCUUCGGGGUGUAAAGUUUUGUCAGUGGGGACGAAAAAUGACGGUACCCACAGAGGAAGCACCGGCUAACUCCGUGCCAGCAGCCGCGGGAAUACGGAGGGUGCAAGCGUUGUCCGGAGUCAUUGGGCGUAAGGAGUGCGUAGGCGGCAUGUAAAGUCAGGUGUUAAAGGAGCAGGCUCAACCUGUGUAGUGCACUUGAUACUUGCAAGCUGGAAUGCGGUAGAGGUAAAGGGAAUUCCUGGUGUAGCGGUGAAAUGCUUAGAUAUCAGGAGGAACAUCAGUGGCGUAAGCGGUUUACUGGGCCGUAAUUGACGCUGAGGAGCGAAAGCCAGGGUAGCAAAUGGGAUUAGAUACCCGGGUAGUC
rnacentral:rRNA from 1 species